UACAGAGGGUGCGAGCGUUGUUCGGAAUUACUGGGCGUAAAGAGCUCGUAGGUGGUUUGUCGCGUUGUUCGUGAAAACUCACAGCUCAACUGUGGGCGUGCGGGCGAUACGGGCAGACUUGAGUACUGCAGGGGAGACUGGAAUUCCUGGUGUAGCGGUGGAAUGCGCAGAUAUCAGGAAGAACACCGGUGGCGAAGGCGGCUCGCUGGGCCAGUUCUGACCACUCAUCCGCGAAAGCGUGGGGGAGCAAACAGG
rnacentral:rRNA from 1 species